GUUAGGGUAAUGUGUGGAAAGAGCAAUACGUAAAAAUAUCUUUUCAGCAGGAACGCCACCCACCCACCCUGGAGCCCUACAAAGGGGCGCUGUAGGACCUGUAAACACAGGUACCACAAACGCCCGCUGCACGUUCCAACUAUAAUCAAAUACGUAAAACCAAGGGUAGUUAUGAAACGCAAGGUUGACCCUUGCCGCCAGGAAUCCUUGAAAUAAGUGGAAGAGACAAGAAGACAAGAAAGAUUGAAAGUUAGAGAGAAAGGUGAAGGUUAGAGAGGACAGGAAAAGGCGACUGCCGAUUUACUCCAGGUUGGUCAGUCUGGAGGCCUCGUCUGUGUGAAGCAGAGGCCAAAGAGGUGUGCUGCUUCUGCCAGGGUGCCUUAAAGGACCAAACACCCGGCAUCGGCUCAACCCCAAGGAUUCCCCUUUCCCUAGGCACGGUCAAGCCGUGCACGGCUAGACGCGGGAGGCUGCAACCCUUGUUUCCUCGGUUGGGCAGCGUGGGCCUCAGGCGUCUGACCCGUACUAUGACCACGAGCUGCCUCGGCGAGCUUGGUCCUCGAACUCUGCUUUUGUGAGAAGCUUCUUGGGGCGACGUAUCGAGGUGGGAAACCACCCUGUAAUGUGAGGUAAAGGCCCUACGCCGUUGCAAGGGGCUCUGCUACGACUCGCCUUUGUGACAAACAAUUCGUGUCAUGUGGUCUGGGCAUCGACGACAACAGCAGCUCCAGCGCCUACGCUUUAUUCUCAAUAGCGGGUGGCACAUUCCCAUUGGCGCAUACAUAGCGCACGUCGGCGUCAAAGACGUUCAUUAAAGACCAACGCAGAACAAGUGGCACAUACCCAAUGUUCCAGGUCGGCGUGAAAGAGCAUCUUCGGACAGCGGUGCCUACAGAGUGCCGUUUUUACAGUGACCCAUGUCGGUGUGAAAGAGGCUCCGUGAAGAGCAGCAGGUAUGUUCCCAACGCGCGACAAGACGCUGAGUGAUUCAAGCUGGUUCGAUGAAUGGUUUUGAACAUCUUUACCUAAGCACAGCAGCACUAUGCGCUUUCCAUUCCACCACGAACUACCAAGUCACCCAGGUAGGCUAUACAACAGUUAGAUACAAAGAUACGUGGA